rnacentral:rRNA from 1 species
GACGAACGCUGGCGGCGGGCUUAACACAUGCAAGUCGAACGGCAAGGCCCUGCUUUUGUGGGGUGCUCGAGUGGCGAACGGGUGAGUAACACGUGAGUAACCUGCCCUUGUCUUUGGGAUGACUUCAGGAAACUGGGGCUACUACCGGAUAGGAGAUGCUGCUGCAUGGUGGGGGUUGGAAAGUUUCGGCCGUUGGGGAUGGACUAGCGGCUUACGGGCUUGUUGGUGGGGUAGUGGCUGACCAAGGCUUUGACGGGUAGCCGGCCUGAGAGGGUGACCGGCCACAUGGGGACUGAGAUACGGCGCAGACUGCUACGGGAGGCAGCAGUGGGGAAUAUUGCACAAUGGGAGGAAGCCUGAUGCAGCAGCGCCACGUGCGUGAUGACGGCCUUCGGGUUGAAAACAGCUUUCGCCUGUGACGAAGCGUGAGUGACGGUAAUGGGUAAAGAAGCACCGGCUAACUACGUG